GGCUCAUCAAGCUCUUUCUCCAGCUCCUCUAGCACAGACACGGCUUCCUCUCCAUUCUCUGGUUGGUGAUCUCGCACCCAGGCCUGCAGCUCCUCUGGAGAGUGCCGCGGGAACGCACGUUGCAGCAGGAGCCGAAUCCAUGCCGUCUCCAGCAAUGGCUCUCAGACCAGCACAAGAAACGGGGUCACCAAACCCCCAACGCCACAAGAGGGCCUGUAACAAACCGGGUCCCUGCAGGAGAGGCUUCGCUCAGAGUCCUGAAUCCUGAGUCUUUCCAGAGAGGUCUGGCGCCCAGUUCAAAAUCCCUCUUUUAGCGGGCCGGCUCGGGGAAGGUCGGUGUGCGACGCCCCCAGCCACCUCUCUCACCUGGCCCCCGCCACCCCACCCCACGCAGCGCCCCUCUCCCGCGGGGACCAAACUCUGCGAGACUGCAAGACGCACGUGGCGAUGAGGAAGCACUUGCAAUAUGCCAUUCUGCUGCUUGCUGGACUCCAUUGUUUCUGAUUGGAUUUCAUUCUACUGAUCCAUCUUCAAAUUCAUUGAUUCCUUCUGACUUCUCAAAUGUACUACUGAACCCAUAAAAUAAAGUUUUCAUUUUGUUAUUGCAUUUUUCAACUGCAGAAUUU